rnacentral:rRNA from 1 species
AACGUAGGUGGCAAGCGUUAUCCGGAAUUACUGGGCGUAAAGCGUGCGCAGGCGGCUUGCCAAGUCAGAUGUGAAAGCCCCGGGCUCAACCCGGGAACUGCGUUUGAAACUGGCAGGCUAGAGUUUGGCAGAGGGGGGUGGAAUUCCACGUGUAGCAGUGAAAUGCGUAGAGAUGUGGAGGAACACCGAUGGCGAAGGCAGCCCCCUGGGCCAAAACUGACGCUCAGGCACGAAAGCGUGGGGAGCAAACAGG